AUAGCGGAUAACAGUAUUUCUCGCAUGAGAGAUAUUUAAAAGUUGGUUAUGCUAACACUAUGAGAUGGCUUUGGGUGCAUUAGCUAGUUGUGGGGUAAAGGCCCACCAAGGCGACGAUGCAUAGCCGACCUGAGAGGGUGAUCGGCCACACUGGGACUGAGACACGGCCCAGACUCCUACGGGAGGCAGCAGUAGGGAAUCUUCCGCAAUGGCGAAAAGCUGACGGAGCAACGCCGCGUGAGUGAAGAAGGAUUUCGGUUCGUAAAGCUCUGUUGUUAGGGAAGAAUGGAUAUGUAGUAACUAUACAUGUACGAGACGGACCUAACCAGAAA
rnacentral:rRNA from 1 species